rnacentral:rRNA from 1 species
UACGAAGGGGGCUAGCGUUGCUCGGAAUCACUGGGCGUAAAGGGUGCGUAGGCGGGUCUUUAAGUCAGGGGUGAAAUCCUGGAGCUCAACUCCAGAACUGCCUUUGAUACUGAAGAUCUUGAGUUCGGGAGAGGUGAGUGGAACUGCGAGUGUAGAGGGUGAAAUUCGUAGAUAUUCGCAAAGAACACCAGUGGCGAAGGCGGCUCACUGGCCCCGAGUACUGACGCUGAGGCACGAAAGCGUGGGGAGCAAACA